AAAGGAUUUCUUCCGACAGACGUGACCCCAGAAGGCUGCCGAGGGAGACUUUAGGACAAGAGGCGUUGUUUUUUUUCAGCGUGGCCGCAUUUGGAAAAGGCUGAAGGUAGAAAACUCUGGAAUGGAGAGGCUGGCGACUGGAGCAGGAUCCAGGGGCUUUAAAUUUUAACCUGAAUGCGAUCGAAUGCGCGACUCCCAGAAGAGAUAGCCAGGCGUCCGCCCGGCCGCUCAACCCCCGCCAGGACUCGGAAUGCCUUGCUUUUGGUUCUUUUCGUGAGUUCCGACCAAAUGUUUAAGUGGACUGGGUUUUGCAGAAGCUCAUUUGUAAGCACUGACGGAAAUGGGUUGUGGGCAUUUGAUUUCCUUUGAUUCCAACGUUUUGAAAUAAUGUUUCUCGGAUUUGCUAUUCGAAGCAAUUUUCUAAAAACUCAUAUCUUAUUUGCUAAAAAUAAACUCUUUGGCUCA
rnacentral:lncRNA from 1 species